AUGGCUGGAGAGAAGCACCGCCACCACCUCGUCCACCACCACAAGGAAGAGAAGCCUGUCGAGAGAAGCACCACUAAGACCAUCAUGGCUGAAGAGAAGCGCCACCACUACCACCACAAGGAAGAGAAGCACCACCACCACCUCGUCCACCACCACAAGGAAGAGAGAAGCACCACUAAGACCAUCAUGGUUGAAGAGAGAAGCACCACUAAGACCAUCAUGGUUGAAGAGAAGCACCACCACCACCUCGUCCACCACCACAAGGAAGAGAAGCACCACCACCACCUUGUCCACCACCACAAGGAAGAGAAGAAGCACCAGCACCACCUCGUCCAGCACCAGCACCAGCACCAGCACCACCUCGUCCAGCACCACCACCACCACCACCACCACCACCACAAGGAAGAGAAGCACCACCACCACAAGCCUGUCGAGAGAAGCACCACUAAGACCAUCAUGGCUGAAGAGAAGCACCGCCACCACCUCGUCCACCACCACAAGGAAGAGAAGCACCGCCACCACAAGCCAUAAUAAAAGGCAUAAUAGUCUCUUGUAUACUGUUUGUUCUGGCUUGAUGGUGCUGAUUUGAGUUAAAAAAGAUAAUGACUAUGUUGAUGAUGACACAUUUUCUGCCUUGGGAACCAAUUAUAAUAUAGGAUCCGAAUAGUUGCUUUUAUCUUUAUAAUUUAUGUUUCACAUGGAAAGAUAUUCAAUUCUCAUCUUUGAUACAUGUCACUACUUUGUUGCAAUUCAGUCAAGUUUAUUCAUACUUGAACAAGGCGGUGUCCUGAAAAUAUGACAUCUAUUAGUUAUACAAUGUUUAUUGUUGCUUGACUAACUUGCAGUCUUGGGUGGUUAACUUGUGCAUUGAUCCAGCUUGAGUUAAGUACUUGGUUACUCAGCGUUUGCUCUGACAUAUAUUCUUCAGUAAAUGCGGCAGGCUGAAUUGUUUACAAAUUACCGGUUCAAUUGUUGCUGUGUAAGCGAUGUACUGCAACUCCUGCAACUUAUAUUGAUCGUGCUUUGCUGGUAUCGUCCCCUGUACUUGCUUGUCCUUGGUUUUCUAUUCUGUUAAACCUACAACUCCAAUUUUAAGUUCCUUUAUCCUGUGUGUUUCUCUUCUUUGCUGCUCAGUACUCCAGAACUAUGACCGUAUCCAUUAACCGUCCCUCCUCAUAAAUUACUACUAGCAGUGAAAAUCACUGGAGUCAUUUCUUGCUGCACUCUUGAAAAGCACUGUCAUGUACAAUUCCAUUGUACUUUACCUGACUUGCUGCCUUAACCAUCUGACAUUAGCAUGUUUCCGCUCAAAGUAUAGACCAAAAGAAAGGAAUUCUGAAAUCUUCUAUGGUUCAAUUGUCAUGAAUGUGAGUUUUCAUGAACAGACAACGUGGCUUUAACUGCUUAUUUGCUUUUGCCUUUUUGUGUAGGAAACUUUUGUUUCUGGUGUUGAUGGUCUCAACUUAACUUCCAAUGAAGACUCGUACAAAUCCAAGGCAACUACGAAAUUCAUGGAUUCAAUUGAUGGUGCUAUUGAUGAGUAUUUGACCUUUAACAAUCCCGAGUCAUGCUGUGAGAAGCUUGAGGAUUUGCUUACACAUGGGCACCUUCAGGGGCCACUGAGACCAAAGCCAGAAAAGUCACCUCAAUGCAUAAGGUUACACUUGUUUCAUCAUCAAUCUCUACAUGCAUACACCACACUUGCUUCAGCAUACAGAGUCCGUGCUAGUGACCUCUUGGCUCUUAAUUCUGAAAAUCAUCAGCAUCAUAUGGAAGCUUUCACUCUGAGCAGAAUAAGUGCAGCCUACUCCUUGUUGUUGGCUAUAGUUACGCAUCAUCUUUUUCUUUCUGAAUCUUCAAUAAUUGUCUGUGUUGCGAAUUUCUGGAAAAAUGCCGGGGAGUCCCUAGUUUAUCUCUUUAGAAGCUCAGCCUGGGUUACAUUUUCCAGUUUGCACCAAUCUGUUUCUGAAAAUUCAUCCAUUCUAAGCCAUAAAUGCUGAAGAUCAAUUCUUUUAUUAAUACUGAAGAUCAAUAUGCAAUGUUUGGGGACAUAAGCAGGCAGCACAUAAAUUGUAUUGUCAACAUAACAGAAAAAGUAUGGAGCUUCCUUAGUCAUGAAAGUCGACAUCUGCAAGAAGUUAAAGAGCUCAUUGAUUUUUGAUGGCUUCUCACAGUGGAAACUCCCCUUGAUCUCGGAACUCGUAUUACUUGCCGGGAUAGCAGAACUGUUUCCAGACUUCAAAAAAAGGAGCAUGCCAACCUAGAGAGAGCAUAUCUCUUUCAGCUUGGUCUCCACUGCUUACACUAUGCAACAUACCUGUCAAGCAUCUGUUAUGGCCUAAAUUCCCUGUUGAUAGGUGAAGUUUGUCAAUCUUCUAUACUCUGAAGGUAUGUAUAGUGGCUGGUUAGUUCAACCAAUUUGGCUGAAAAUAUUAUCAAAAAAUAGCGAUGUGAAAAGGUCAUCAAAUAGAUGGUGAUCAAAAAGCUCAGUUCAUCACUCGUAUAUACCGUAUAGUUGAGUGUAUCUUUCCAGGAUUGAAUUCUCAUAGAUGGUGAUCAAAAAGCUCAAUUCAUCACUCGUAAUGCAUGCAAGCAGGAGCCCAAUAUUUCGUCCUCUUUCCAUUUGUUUUUUUUGGGCCACAGUCCUAGAAAUAAGCAUUUCAUGAGUUAAUUUUGGUCUACUGAAUUGAAUAAGAGUGAACUUUUGGGCCAAAUCAGGCUCCAAUUUCAAAUGUGGGUGCUGUUAUUGGGCCUCAAGAGAUUGGAUAAAGCCUGCCCACCUGACACCUAAGUAUCAAGGUCAAAUGACCUCAAACAAUCUAAUAUCCGUUCGCCAGUACUUUUAUUUGUUUAUUUUUUCUUGCCUUCAUAUUACACCCUUCUCGCCUUUAUAUUGUCUGAUUCAGAAUUCAAAAUCUGAAUCUCAUAAUUGAAAGGACGCUAAGAGCUUUUUUUUGACAAAUUUUUAUUUAUUUAUUUAUUACAUUCUUUCAUUCCUGUUCAUACCUUUUUCUUGCAGUCAUAUUAUACCCUUUUCUCCUUUGUACCGAGAGACUCAGAAUUCGAAAUCUGAACCUCAUAAUUGAAAGGACGUUAAGAGCCUAUUUUGACAACUGAACAAACCCUAAUAGUUUUAGUACUUACUUAAAAGAGUUUGUCAAUUUGUUGUUGUAGAGAGCUACAAUGACUUUAUGAAGGUAAAGUGGACAUUAAGUUUGGGCAGUGUCGAAUUUUACCUUUUCUUUUUCCCUUUCUUUUUGGUAGUAUGAUAUUAACUCGACAUUAUAAGAUUUUCAUGGGGGGUGGUUUGAAGUCUCCAUUUUGUUGCAACUAUUCAAAGAGUCAUGAAAUCUGUGAUUUCAUUUUCCAAGUGUGAAUAUUAGGUGGAUGGACAAAUCAACCUUCUUUUUUCCAUUCUUGGGGCAGAAUUUCUUCUCCCACGGAUGUUUCCUAUCCAUAUCACGAUAAUGUACUCUUCUUGAGCGAGUAAAUUAAUUGGUCCCCAAAUGGAAAUUUAGUUGGCACGUCUCACCGACCACGUUUCCUUAACAGCGAAGAAAAGGAAAUAUACAAAUGGAAAAUAAUCUGAAUCUAAACCACCCCAGAUAUCAACAUUCAAGUGGUGGAUAGUCAAUGCAUUUGGAUCAUUCAUGCAUCCAUCUUCCAACUUUGCUUAAAAUUGUGAACAAAGGGGUGGCAAACAACAUCAUAUCCAUGUGGUGGAGGCCAUACCUGUGAAUUGACCCUUCCAAACAGGCGUUAGAGCACAAUUGGUCAGAGAGGAGAAACUUGAAGGUGCAUAUGGCUAUGAGUUACAUCUGUAAAGUAAUAUCAACAUUAAUCGUCCAUUUGUAUCAAUCAUGGAUCAAUUGACAAAAAAAAACCCAAGUUGCAUCCUGUAUAGUUUGUCUGGGGAUGGGGUCUAUGUCAAUGAAUUGGAUGAAAGGAGAAGAAACUUCAAACUAUGAAUUUAUAAUUAGUGAUUGAGCUUAAUUCUUCAACCCAACCACACCAAACUUCUUGGUUAUUGGAGAACCAAAUCAUAUAUAUAUAUAUAUAAUAAAGUCGUAUCCUCAUUUAUCGUUUCAUGUUUUCUUUUUCUUAUGUGGCUUAACGAGAUAGCAAGUAAUUUUCUACGUGGCUUGCUUCUUUUUUGUUUGGAUUUAUAUCAAUUCUUAUUUCCUAUAUUAUAUGAUUGGUCCGAUAAAAUAUAUCAAUUCUUAGUCCGAUAAAAAUUGUUAGUCCGAUAAAAAUUGUGAUACAAAAUGGAUCAAUUGGAAAAAAAACCCCAAGUUGCAUCCUGUAUAGUUUGUCUGGGGAUGGGGUCUAUGUCAAUGAAUUGGAUGAAAGGAGAAGAAACUUCAAACUAUGAAUUUAUAAUUAGUGAUUGAGCUUAAUACUUCAACCCAACCAUACCAAACUUCUUGGUUAUUGGAGAACCAAAUUAUUUAAUAGUCGUAAGGUGGGAAAAAAAAAAGAAUUGCUUAAACAAUCUAGAAUACUUCUUUUUUUGGUAAAUAUCUAGAAAAUAUCUCUUUGGCUAUCUUGACCAAGAAAUACUGGUAGACCAUUUAACUUUCAAAAUGUUGAUUAUUGAUCACUAAGAUAUGUUUCAACCGCUUAAUCAUGAUUUAAUAGAGUUUUAAUUUCCCACUAUCCCUUGUCAAUCAGCAAAAUUGUGUUUGAUGACACGACUAAUUACCCUUCCAUAUAUAUAUAUAUAUAUCCUCCUUUUUCUAUCAAUUUUUUUUUUCAACGCCCGUUAAUCACGCUCCUAACACUAUCCAAUAACUAAGAUUUCUAGCCGAUUACUACUAAAUCAUCGCCUGUAGGCUAUAAAUAGCCUCCUCUCCACAAUCCAACAAACAGAAAAUUACCACCACUCAGAUCAGAUAUUUUUCAUAAGUUGUCCUAUUAUCAGUUUUACACCACUAAGACUAUCAUGGCUGAAGCCUUCCACCACCACAACCCCUUCCACCACCACAAGGAACAGACGGCUGCCGAAGCCGUUGGCUACUCCGACACCACCUACUCUGGAGGCUACGGUGGAGAGCCAGCACAUGAUUAUGAGAAAGAAAGAAAGCACCACAAGCACCUUGAGCAACUUGGUGGACUCGGUGCUGUCGCUGCUGGCGCCUAUGCCUUGGUAUAUUUCCGAUUUUGUGAUCCUUGCUUGUAUAACUCAGUUUUCAUGAUAAGCCACGAAGGCAUGCUUGUCUAUAAGAAGCCACAAAUUAAACUCAGUUUUUUUUUGUAUUAGUCCAUAAAGACUAAACAUUUUUGUUAUCAUUUCGUUUGAUCAGACAAUCAAAGAUUAUGUACGUCCAAUAUCAAAAGGGUUGUUCAGUAAAUCAGAAAAAUCUCUUUCGAAAAAUAAAAAAAAAAAGAUUAAAGAAUCUCUAGGGGGGAUAAAAUCGUAUGGUAUGGUCCAAUUAUAGUGUUGUGUUGAAUUUUAUGCUCUAAUCGGACUAAAAAUUUUGCAGUCAAUUGACUGUAUCAUAAACUCUUUUAAGUAGGACAUGGUUUUUGGCUUUACUAAUUUCUUGUUUGUUUUUUUUGUCGAAAUUUCCAUAAUCCAGCAUGAGAAGCACAAGUCCAAGAAAGAUCCUGAGCAUGCCCACAAGCACAAGAUAGAAGAAGAGAUUGCAGCAGUAGCUGCAGUGGGUGCCGGUGGAUUUGCGUUCCAUGAGCAUCACGAGAAGAAGGAUGCCAAGAAAGAAGAGGAAAAGGCUGAGGGAAAGCACCACCACCACCUAUUUUAGUUUAACCACUCGGAUUUUCAUUAAUCCUUGGGUGGUCUUUUUAAUAUUGUUCCCUUGUCUAUCUUCCAGUAUUGAGCUCGUACUGCCAAUAAUCAUGUUUAAUAAUCUGUUACUCAAAAAAAAAAAAAAAGUGUUGUUUUUCAUUUGAGUUGUGCGCCUGCUUUUGUUGGCGCUGCUGACUUUAUUAGAGUUUGUGUGAAGUGCUGUUGUUAUUAAUGAAAUGUUUGGUUGCAGUAUAAAAAUUAGAUAUCAGUUUGGAAUAUGCUCAAAGGAUGAUGAGUAUUCUUUUGGGCUCUAUCUGAUGAUCCGCAUAGAAAUUUGUUUUUUCCAAUAAUUUGUGACGUUACUCGAAAUGAAAUUUGUUAUGAUGUUGAUUGAAUAAUGAAUGUCUAUUAUACUUAAACAUUGAAC
rnacentral:lncRNA from 1 species